rnacentral:misc_RNA from 1 species
GUACAGUGCUAUUGGUUGUGGUUGUCAAGGUGAGGUGAAAUGGGGUUUUUAUUUUUUGGUAUGCUGUUCCGAAGUUUUUGAAUUCAUAUUAUUGCUUUCUAAUUGAGUCGUCUUAUUUUCGUUUCUAGUUGAAAAAUACAUGCAAGGAUAUCAGUGGCUUCUACAAGUUCUUUUGUAGUUCAUGGCAUUUGAUUCAUCUCGGAUAUCUCAACUUAGGAAACGAGAAAUCUUUCUGUUUGCUGCAUGUGUGGAUGAGUCGCAAACGUAUUUGGAUUGGGCAGCUACUAACCGAGCCGUCUCCCCUCCCCUUCCCCUCGGCGAAUCUAGAUUGACUAGGGAUGUAAAUGAAUCAAGCCG